GUGUAUCAGUACAUGGCAUAUCAAUAAGCGGAGGAAAAGAAACUAACAAGGAUUCCCUUAGUAACGGCGAGUGAAGCGGGGAGAGCUCAAAUUUGAAAUCUUCAAGGUUCUACCUUGACGAAUUGUAGUUUAUAGAAGUGUUUUCUGUUAGUAGAGUGGCAAAAGUUCUUUGGAAUAGGACAUCAUAGAGGGUGAGAAUCCCGUAUUUGGUCAUUCUUUCUAGCUUUGUGAUACACUUUCAACGAGUCGGAUUGUUUGGGAAUGCAGUCCAAAAUGGGUGGUAAAUUUCAUCUAAAGCUAAAUAUUGGCGAGAGGCCGAUAGCGAACAAGUACCGUGAGGGAAAGAUGAAAAGAACUUUGAAAAGAGAGUUAAACAGUACGUGAAAUUGUCAAAAGGGAAGCGUUUGACACCAGUGUUGUUUUCUCGAAAAUCAAUUAAAAAAGAUUGGAUUUUGUGUUGUAUUGACUUUAUCAGCUUUCUGCACUCUUUUCUUGUCUUUUUUAAUGCACUUUUUGUUUAACAAGUCAACAUCAAUUUCUUUUGUUGUAAAAGAGUCAUUGGAAGGUGGCUUUCAUUUCGGUAGAAAGUGUUUAUAGCCUUUGACCUCUGCAAUCGGAGAGAUUGAGGUCUGCAGCGUAGAUCCUUCGGGGUUAGAUACAUUUGUGCUAAGUUAUAGCUUUUCAUAGACAACUUGUUGACUAUGAUUAGUCAUGUAGCUUACUCGCUUAUGCUAUUUUACCUACGCUUAGGAUGUUGACAGCAGUAUAGACUGU
rnacentral:rRNA from 1 species